rnacentral:ncRNA from 1 species
UUGUUAUAUAGAAUUCCUUGUAUAAUAUCAGUGGAAAUGGUCUGAUAGUAUCUACCUGGCAGCCGCUUAAAGUGCCGGACUACAAGGAAGUGUGAAAA